rnacentral:rRNA from 1 species
GACAGAGGUGCCGAGCGUUAGGCGGAAUCACUGGGCUUAAAGCGUGUGUAGGCGGACUUCUAAGUACCUUGUGAAAUCCCACGGCUCAACCGUGGAACUGCUUGGUAUACUGGUUGUCUUGAGCCACUUAGGGGCAGUCGGAACAGACGGUGGAGCGGUGAAAUGCGUAGAUAUCAGGAGGAACGCCGGAGGCGAAAGCGAGUGACUGGCGCGUUCCUGACGCUGAGGUGCGAAAGCUAGGGGAGCAAACAGG